UACAGAGACCUCAAGCGUUAUCCAGAAUCAUUGGGCGUAAAGCGUACCGAUAGGUGGUUUUACAAGUCAGAAGUGAAAUCUCUCAGCUUAACUGGGAGACUGUCUUUUGAAACUGUAAAACUAGAAGGGCAAAGAGGAAGCUGGAACAAACGGUGUAGUAGUGAAAUGCGUUGAUAUCGUUUGGAACACCAAUAGCGUAGGCAGGCUUCUGGGUGCCACUUGACACUGCUAGGACGAAAGCGUGGGGAGCGAUAAGG
rnacentral:rRNA from 1 species